UACGUAGGGGGCAAGCGUUAUCCGGAUUUACUGGGUGUAAAGGGAGCGUAGGUGGCGAUGCAAGUCUGAUGUGAAAACCCGGGGCUCAACCCCGGGACUGCAUUGGAAACUGUGUUGCUAGAGUGCAGGAGAGGUAAGUGGAAUUCCUAGUGUAGCGGUGAAAUGCGUAGAUAUUAGGAGGAACACCAGUGGCGAAGGCGGCUUUCUGGACUGUAACAGACGCUGAGGCACGAAAGCGUGGGGAGCGAACAGG
rnacentral:rRNA from 1 species